GAUGAACGCUGGCGGCGUGCUUAAUACAUGCAAGUCGAGCGAACGGACGCGAAGUUUGCGUCUCUGAUGUUAGCGGCGGACGGGUGAGUAACACGUGGAUAACCUACCUAUAAGACUGGGACAACUUCGGGAAACCGGAGCUAAUACCGGAUGAUAUUUUGAACCGCAUGGUUCUAAAGAGAAAGACGGUCUUUCUGUCACUUAUAGAUGGAUCCGCGCUGCAUUAGCUAGUUGGUAAGGUAACGGCUUACCAAGGCAACGAUGCAUAGCCGACCUGAGAGGGUGGUCGGCCACACUGGAGCUUGGACGCGGUCCAGACUCCUACGGGAGGCAGCAGUAGGGAAUCUUCCGCAGUGGGCGGGAGCCUGGCGGAGCAGCGCCGCGUGAGAGAUGAAGGUCUUCCGAUCGUAAUACUCUGUUAUUGGUGAUAAACAUAUGUGUAAGGAGCUGAGCACAUCUUGACGGUACCUGAUCAGAAAGCCCCGGCUAACUACGUG
rnacentral:rRNA from 1 species